rnacentral:rRNA from 1 species
ACGGGUGAGUAAUACAUCGGAACGUGUCCUGGAGUGGGGGAUAGCCCGGCGAAAGCCGGAUUAAUACCGCAUACGCUCUAAGGAGGAAAGGGGGGGAUCUUAGGACCUCUCGCUCAAGGGGCGGCCGAUGGCAGAUUAGCUAGUUGGUGGGGUAAAGGCCUACCAAGGCGACGAUCUGUAGCUGGUCUGAGAGGACGACCAGCCACACUGGGACUGAGACACGGCCCAGACUCCUACGGGAGGCAGCAGUGGGGAAUUUUGGACAAUGGGCGCAAGCCUGAUCCAGCAAUGCCGCGUGUGUGAAGAAGGCCUUCGGGUUGUAAAGCACUUUUGUCCGGAAAGAAAACCCCUGCCCUAAUACGGCGGGGGGAUGACGGUACCGGAAGAAUAAGCACCGGCUAACUACGUGCCAGCAGCCGCGGUAAUACGUAGGGUGCGAGCGUUAAUCGGAAUUACUGGGCGUAAAGCGUGCGCAGGCGGUUCGUUAAGACAGAUGUGAAAUCCCCGGGCUUAACCUGGGAACUGCAUUUGUGACUGGCGGGCUAGAGUAUGGCAGAGGGGGGUAGAAUUCCACGUGUA